GUGGGGGCGAGUGAAAGUGGUUUUGGGGGCAGUUCGUGCGAGUCGGCCCCCCACGUUGAGAAUGCCCUGAAGUUUGUCUCCUGGUCAAGUUCAAUAGCGACUGUCUGGCUAUGUCUGGAAGCCCAGUGAUUUGCAUUGCUUGAAACUGGGUGUUCGGCUAAGUCCCCUCGGCACCCCCACCUCACCCUCCCGACCGUGGGAGAAAGGGUGCGGGCGUUCGCAUCUUUGCCUCGGAAAGGUUUCUUACAGGAGGUGGAUUUAGGGGGCAACUCGCGUCUAGUUGUGAACGAGCGUUUAGGGAAUCCGAAACUCGGGGAACCCUGGUGAUAGUCUACUCCCCGCCCCCGCACAACAUGCAUAGACACACUGCACAUCACAUGUACACACAAACACACACACGCACACGCCACUCCUCCCGCCCCGAUUUGCUUCCGGGAAAACAAGUCCGAGAGCAGCAGACACUUGCCAAAAGUCACGCAGCGAUUGUGAUUGCACCUGCUGUACAUCAUCGGAUCCUCAGAGUGGUUGUCUGAGCAAGAUUCCUAUCAGAACCGCUUUUACUGCCUCCCCCGGCGACGUUCCCGGCCCGCCAACGUUUCUUUCGUCCUUACAAGGCCAGCUUCCACCCGCUGCUUUUGUGUAAAUAAAGCCUGGCCUUCUGCCUGCAGGUUGCCGCCAGAAGCCGGCCGGUGGGGGAAGGGUUCGGAACCGGUACGACCGCCUCAGCCGCGCCGGGAGAGGCCGAGAGUCCGCCACGCUCAGCCGUCGCGCGGGGGCGGUACUCCGGGCCCCCCAGGAUGAGCCGAGCCGAGAAACCCAGCACGAGAAAGUCCCCACCCACCUGCACCCUCUUCCGUGGGUCACCCCGCGCGUGGCAGGCCCUUGACAAAUAUCGUCCUGAAUUCUCCCCGCGAUCCUGGGAGUAUCCUCCCCAUUUUAUAGACGAGAGACUGAGGCUUACCAAGUGUAAGGGGCUUGACCGAGGUCCCAUAGGCGAAAAAAGUGGCAAACCAAGAACUUCUAACCGAAUAUAUCUGGCUGCAAAAUCCAGUCUUCUCCCAUCCCGCCGGUCACCAGUGAGACUGUAAAGGUCUUAAAGGAGAAGAAUAAAAAAAAAAAUAACCACACGAAUCAGAUUAACAGAUCGUAAGGAAUUGAAAGGGCCUUCCAGAGCUGCUGGUAUUUCAAACAAGUGGACUCGAACCACAGGAUAAGUAACAAACUACUUUUCCUGGGUGACCAAUCAUACUUUUUUUUUAAUUAAAAAUAUAUUUAUUAAAAUAGAUUACGAUGGAGAAGAAUAUAAUUUUCAAAAUAAUGAUAGCUGAAAACAGAAGACUUAAAAGAAAUGUCAGGCUGUUUCCACCUCGCACACCUUUCGUUCGAUUGCACACACAUUCUUGACAUCAAGUACAUAAACAGGCAAACUGAGGCCCGAAACCAGUCCCACUGAGAGCGAGAGGCCGAGUGGGAGGAGAACCGAGAUUUCCGGGCUCUCGGCCUGGGGUGCUUUCGGCUGGGGGCGGGGGUCCUGUUUGUAAACAGGUGUCCUCGGACAGCCACUGCCGAUUUUUGUCACUCUGCCAACCGGAGGGACGAUUCUGAGUAAUCGCUAGCAGUCAGCGCAGCUGGGGCUAAAAGCGAAAGGGACGCGCGCGCGACGGGCCCGGGAGGGCGACGGGUAAAGCGCGCAGGCGGGGCCGCCGCCGGGUUCCCGCGGGGCGACCGUGCGGUAGGCCUCCUCCCGGACCGCUCUCGACGGCCCCGCCCCGCGCAGGCGGCGGGCGCUGCAGGCCCCGCCCCUGCUCCCAGCCCAGGGGACCCAUCCCGGACCUGAGAAUCCCGGUCCCAAACCCCUCCUCCCAAAAGGGGCUAAAAGGUGCAGGGGGCUUUUGACCAGCCCGUCCAGCUUCAGGUCCUGGGACCGGCGGCCCUGUCCUUGCGCGUGGGAACAGUCAGGUACUUAGGCUUGACCUUAAAUCCGCCCCUGGUAUUUGCUAACACUAAGGUCUUAAGAAAAUGACUUAAACUCUCUCUCUCUCAGUUUCUGCAUCUGUAAAAUGGGAGUUAGCGAGUCUUACCUCAUGUAAUUGCUGUGAGAAGUAAAUGUGUACCUAGCUGUGAAGGUCUAGAACAUUAAAAAGAAAAAAACAAUUAAAUGCUGUUUUACUGUUAUUGCUAGGCGGGCCUGGGUGGGACUCUCAGGCCAAUUCAGAACUGGAUGACCUGGGCAGAUGGACUUUCUUAGUUCCCCCACCUGGAAAAGACAGCUUCAUUACAAUUACCAUCACAGGGUGGGGAUGAGGACAGACGGCCUCCCCAGCAUCUGGCAAGACCACACGUGGUUAUGUUUGCAACUCUUAUUAUUUGCCAUCAUUGUCUUAAGCAUUUUGCACUUAUUAGUGCCUUUCAUCCUACACAAUUACAGUAUGACAGAGAUAUUACUAUUUUCCAUUUCACAAAUAGGAAACUGAGAC
ensembl:lncRNA